rnacentral:rRNA from 1 species
GAUGAACGCUGGCGGCGUGCCUAAUACAUGCAAGUCGAGCGAACGGACGAGAAGCUUGCUUCUCUGAUGUUAGCGGCGGACGGGGGAGUAACACGUGGAGAACCUACCUAUAAGACUGGGAUAACUUCGGGAAACCGGAGCUAAUACCGGAUAAUAUUUUGAACCGCAUGGUUCAAAAGUGAAAGACGGUCUUGCUUUCACUUAUAGAUGGAUCCGCGCUGCAUUAGCUAGUUGGUAAGGUAACGGCUUACCAAGGCAACGAUGCAUAGCCGACCUGAGAGGGUGAUCGGCCACACUGGAACUGAGACACGGUCCAGACUCCUACGGGAGGCAGCAGUAGGGAAUCUUCCGCAAUGGGCGAAAGCCUGACGGAGCAACGCCGCGUGAGUGAUGAAGGUCUUCGGAUCGUAAAACUCUGUUAUUAGGGAAGAACAUAUGUGUAAGUAACUGUGCACAUCUUGACGGUACCUAAUCAGAAAGCCACGGCUAACUACGUG